rnacentral:tRNA from 1 species
GGGCUUGUAGCUCAGCCUGGUAGAGCAUCUCGUUCGCAACGAGGGGGCCUCGGGUUCAAAUCCCGACAAGUCCA